UACAGAGGGUGCAAGCGUUAAUCGGAAUUACUGGGCGUAAAGCGUGCGUAGACGGUUGCGUAAGUCAGAUGUGAAAGCCCCGGGCUCAACCUGGGAAUUGCAUUUGAGACUGCGUAGCUAGGGUGCGGAAGAGGGAAGCGGAAUUUCCGGUGUAGCGGUGAAAUGCGUAGAUAUCGGAAGGAACACCAGUGGCGAAGGCGAGUCUCUGGACAGUUCCUGACGCUGAGGCACGAAGGUCAGGGGAGCAAACGGG
rnacentral:rRNA from 1 species